AACGAACGCUGGCGGCAGGCCUAACACAUGCAAGUCGAGCGAGACCUUCGGGUCUAGCGGCGGACGGGUGAGUAACGCGUGGGAACGCGCCCUUUUCUACGGAAUAGCCUCGGGAAACUGAGCGUAAUACCGUAUACGCCCUUUGGGGGAAAGAUUUAUCGGAGAAGGAUCGGCCCGCGUUGGAUUAGGUAGUUGGUGGGGUAAUGGCCUACCAAGCCUACGAUCCAUAGCUGGUUUGAGAGGAUGAUCAGCCACACUGGGACUGAGACACGGCCCAGACUCCUACGGGAGGCAGCAGUGGGGAAUCUUAGACAAUGGGGGCAACCCUGAUCUAGCCAUGCCGCGUGAGUGAUGAAGGCCUUAGGGUUGUAAAGCUCUUUCAGCUGGGAAGAUAAUGACGGUACCAGCAGAAGAAGCCCCGGCUAACUCCGUG
rnacentral:rRNA from 1 species